rnacentral:piRNA from 1 species
UAGCCUUGGCCUGAAAUAUUUAGGGUAGU